rnacentral:rRNA from 1 species
AAAGAAAACCUCUUAGUUGUACCUUUUGUAUCAGGGGGAUUUAAAAAUUUCUCUACUAGAGACUCGAUUGAAGUAGAUCUUCUUUUUUUGCUUCGGUUAAAAUCGAAGCAAAAAAACUUUAAGGGGUGAAAAAUGUUCGGUGUUUCUUGUAUCUAGUUCCUUUAAAGUUAAAGGGGUAAGCUCUUUAUUUUUUAUAUUAUAAAGUUAGUAGAGAGAGCUAGGCUCUAGAUUAGCCACGUUAGUACUUUGUUAAAAAUAGUCACUUAAAACACACAGAAAUAAAAUUAACGGGGUGCGUAAGUGAGCAAAAACUUAUACCAAUAAUGAAUUUAUUGAAUAGAGAAAGAAGUAAAAAAAUAACUCAGACUCAGUCAGAAAGUUUAGCAAAAACAUUUUUGCUUGAAGAGUAAGGAGUAAGGCCUGCCCGGUGGCCCCUCAACGGCUGCGGUACUUUGACCGUGCUAAGGUAGCAUAAUCAUUUGCUUCUUAAUUGGUAGCUGGAAUGAAAGGUUAAACUGGCUUAGCUAGUUUGUAUUUCUAGAUAGAACAUUUAAGUCAAGGUAAAAAUUCUUUGAUGACCUAGGGGACGAUAAGACCCUAGAAGCUUGAUAAUGAGUUAAGGCCUUAGUUUUACCGGUAACUUUAGUUUACUGGGGCGGUAACAGUGUUUGAACCACUUAGACCUUAGCUGAUCCCCCGUAUAGGGAUAGAUUGGUGUAGUUACUCUAGGGAUAACAGUGCUAUAUUUUUGGAGAGACCCUAUCGAUAAAUAUUUUUGCAACCUCGAUGUUGAAUUAAGAUGUCUGCGUGAAGCAGAAGGUACGUAAGAAGGUUUGUUCAACCUUUAAACUCUUACAUGAUUUGAGUUCAAAUCGGUUUAAGCCAGAUUGGAUUUUAUCUCUAGUUAAAGGAUUAAUUUUUUUAGUACGAGAGGGCCAAUAAAUUUUUGGGACCAAAAAAAAACUAGGCCAUAAUAAGAUGUUCAAUCUACCUAAUA